UCACUGCCUGUUGGUUUCAGUCAUCGUGAUUGGAAUUUGUCGCCGCUGCCACUUGAGGUGGCUGCCGGGCUGCCGCCGAGCCGGUUUGGAGACCGCCGCUGUGUCGGUUCAGCCGUUCCUCCUUCGGUUCGAGUUGUUGAGACUGUUGCGAAAGUGGCUUGGAACCGAGGUUUUGGCUGCCGGGAUUUCGAUUGUUGAUCUCGGGCUGAGGCGGAAAGGAUUCUGUGACGCGUUUGGAUUAUG